rnacentral:lncRNA from 1 species
CGAGCGUUUCUUUAAAAUGUUCGUUGAAAAAAUGCCACGACGCAGGUAUGGAAUUAACGACAAAAUUUAUUAUCCAACAAAGGUAACACUUGGAAAAUACACUACAAUAUACAGUAAGAUGAGGAGGGGAAAAAGAUAGCACCUCGAAUUAAUCCGUCAACAAAACGACUACUUCACUCACCUGUCCACCUACACCACCUACAACACCCACCGACAGCUGAGUGACCUGCCCUCCAGAAGGUGUUAACCUUCAUCAAUUGCAGCACCCGCUAUAGUCAGGCUGGAGUGGAUUACCGAGUGAAUAAUGACUAAAAACCUCAAGGAAUUUGUACUGGAACCGGUAAUCCAUCAUGUAUCCACCUACACCACGUAAAACACCCACCGACAGCUGGGUGACCUGCACUCCGGAGUCACGCGUCUGACGUCGAUCGAGGAGGAACCCCCGCUAUGGUCAGCCUGGAGUGGAUUACCCAGUGAAUAAUGACUAAAACCCUCAACGAAUUUGUACUGGAACCGGUAAUCCAGGAGGCACGUGGCUCUGGAGUCAGAACAGCGCAUGCCAUCCCGCCAUUGGUGGUGUUAUUUCCUUUGUUGUUUUUGUUGCAAGUUUUGGCGCCAACUUCUCCAAAAUGGCUGCGUGACGAUCAACAUCGCUCUGCUUGUUUCUUCAAUCUGUGUUUGUAUACCUGGUGUCGAACUCCCACAAUGACAAGUUAAAGACUGCUAUGGACUCGGGUGUUUCCGUUACAGUUUCUUGAUGGUCGCGGGAAGAUAUAGCCGAAAAUAUGAAACUGAGGCCAUAAUGUCCAGGUUCACCUGUAGUUCUGCCGGACUAUUUACGACAAAGGCCUAGACAUUAACUGUGCCAGCGCGAAUGCGCGGUAAAUAAGUUGUAGUAAGAAAAGACGUUAAUUUUAGCGGCCAUUCAAAUAUUACGUAACGCUCGAGGGUGUCGGUGGGUGUAGGUCCAACGUUAUGUAACGUUUCAGGGGGUGGGUGGGUGUAUUUAACAGCGUUACAUAACGUACUUUAAAAACAUUUUUCAUUACUAAAAUCUUUCAUUUUGUUUUGUGUUUUUUAUAAACGAUCUGUCACGGCGACAAUGUUUAACGUAUAUGUAGUUAUAGCUGGCCGGUAUGUACUAUCCUGUCUGUGAUAUGGUGCAUAUAAAAGAUCCCUUACUGCUAAUCAAAAAGAGUAACCCAUGAAGUGGCGAGAGCGUGGUUUUUUUCUCAAUAUCUGUGUGGUCCUUAACCAUAUGUCCGACGCCAUAUAACCGCAAAUAAAAUGUGCGUCGUGAAAUAAAACACUUCCUUCCUUUGAUCCAGGGUGAUCUCUCAAAUUAUGAACUGCCCCUAGAAAUACACAUUUCGCAGAGGAAUCAAAUUAAUUGAUUUAUUUUUAGAAGGGAACGUAACAUCUUGGUCCGCUUGGAGUUUUAGAUUAGGGUUCAGAACCACGAUCACAGGCGUACUUGCUCCCAUUCUUGUAGAGGACCACGAUCAUAGGCGUACGGGCUCCCAUUCUUGUAGAGAACCACGAUCAUAGGCGUACGGGCUCCCAUUCUUGUAGGGGACCACGAUCAUAGGCGUACGGGCUCCCAUUCUUGUAGAGAACCACGAUCGUAGGCGUACGGGCUCCCAUUCUUGUAGAGGACCACGAUCAUGGGCGUAUAGGCUCCCAUUCUUGUAGAGAACCACGAUCAUAGGCGUACGGGCUCCCAUUCUUGUAGAGAACCACGAUCAUAGGCGUACGGGCUCCCAUUCUUGUAGAGAACCACGAUCAUAGGCGUACGGGCUCCCAUUCUUGUAGAGAACCACGAUCAUAGGCGUACGGGCUCCCAUUCUUGUAGAGAACCACGAUCAUAGGCGUACGGGCUCCCAUUCUUGUAGAGGACCACGAUCAUGGGCGUAUAGGCUCCCAUUCUUGUAAGGGACCACGAUCAUAGGCGUACGGGCUCCCAUUCUUGUAGAGGACCACGAUCAUAGGCGUACGGGCUCCCAUUCUUGUAGAAAACCACGAUCAUGGGCGUACGGGCUCCCAUUCUUGUAGAGAACCACGAUCAUAGGCGUACGGGCUCCCAUUCUUGUAGAGAACCACGAUCAUAGGCGUACGGGCUCCCAUUCUUGUAGAGAACCACGAUCAUAGGCGUACGGGCUCCCAUUCUUGUAGAGAACCACGAUCAUAGGCGUACGGGCUCCCAUUCUUGUAGAGAACCACGAUCAUAGGCGUACGGGCUCCCAUUCUUGUAGAGGACCACGAUCAUGGGCGUACGGGCUCCCAUUCUUGUAGAGGACCACGAUCAUAGGCGUACGGGCUCCCAUUCUUGUAGAGGACCACGAUCAUAGGCGUACGGGCUCCCAUUCUUGUAGAGGACCACGAUCAUGGGCGUAUAGGCUCCUAUUCUUGUAAGGGACCACGAUCAUAGGCGUACGGGCUCCCAUUCUUGUAGAGGACCACGAUCAUAGGCGUACGGGCUCCCAUUCUUGUAGAGGACCACGAUCAUAGGCGUAUAGGCUCCUAUUCUUGUAAGGGACCACGAUCGUAGGCGUACGGGCUCCUAUUCUUGUAGGGUGGGGGGGGGGGCUUUUGCCCAAAUUAAACGAAAAUCCUCGAAUCUGGAUAACAACAUUUAUUCAUAUUAGUAUUAGUAUUAUUACCAAACAGCAAUAUAGGGUUGCAAACGAAUACAACACAUUUUUACAUGGAAUACAACUAAUUUUGCGGGUAGAAUGAUGGGAACAAGUAAAAAGGUCAGAUUAGCACAUUUUAUCUGAAUAUCUAUAACGUUUUUGCCGGAAUUUGGGGUUUUGCUCCAACACUCCAGUUACCAGUCCGCCCCUUCCCGUCCCCCCCCCCCCCCCCCCCCCCCCCCCCCCCCGUCUCGUACGCUAAUGACCACGAUUCAAAAGUGGGAAACUGUGUCAGGUAGUGGAAUAAGAUAUUUCCUAGGCUGAAAAACGCAGACUGUUCAAAAGUGGGAGACUUUGCCCGUUAUUGAAGGGCGUAGCUCAGUGGUAAAGCGUUCGCCUGACGCGCGGUCUGUCUAGGAUCGAUCCCCAUCAGUGGACCCAUUGGGCUAUUUCUCCUUCUAGCCUUUGCAUCACUACUGGUAUAUCAAAGGC